rnacentral:lncRNA from 1 species
GACGCCUCCAAUGACGUCACAGAUGGUGCCGGUUUUUCGACGGUACACUUCCCGCCACCAGAACACAGGCCGUGUUCGACAAGAAUUUUAAUGCUAUAAAACGAAGAAAAACUCGACAUUCUUAUUGUGGGGAAAGCAGAUGCCCAUACUUCAACUGUCGAAUCAUCUACUGUCGAAAAAACAACUAACAAAAAUGGUCUAACUAUGGUUUAGAUGAAGAAGAAUUGCUAAAAAAGGAUAAGACCUCACAUGGAAACACUGAAUCAUGUCUAUUCGGAGAAAAGUUUAUUGUAUUCCAGAGCUGCUUAUUAGAAAUUUUCAAAAGUUGCCAUGUAUGCCAGAAAGAAGCUUAGCCAUCUAUCACUGAAAGGAGAGUGGUACUAUGAUCACAUUGGAGGUCAUAUGACUGUAUGUAUCAAUGGACAUCACAUAAUUUGGAAUACUAACCAUGCCAUGGCCUUAUGUCUUGGGGGAAUAUGCUUUUAACAGCAUCAAAACUGCUCACUGGAAGUAAUCCAGCAAUGGUUAUCAUUUUUUUCAAGCACAUUGGGGUUUAGGACAUACUAUUACAUACAAAGGUUGUACCUUAUUCCAGCUAUAGACCCCUUGCAUGUGACGUCAAAGCAGCUUCAUCUGGAGGGCGAAACAAAAGAUUUUUAUCCUCUUGGGAACUAGAAUCUAUUCAUUUGUCCUCCAGUUGGAGCUGCAUUCCCAUGAACUGCAAGGGGUCUAUUGAUCAAACAUGGCAGAGCAAUAUGAGAUUUGACAAGUGUUAAGGGUGAUUUUGUUGAUCUUGGUAGGAAUGGGAGAUGUGACUCACCUGGCCAUGAUAUGUGCAAAAUAUAGAGCAUACCACAUGUUGUCACAGUACAGAAUUGUACAGAAUUUCACAUGCUUUACUUGUGAAUGAAUUCAUUUGUUUGGAUUUAAUAAAAUAUGAAAGUUUAA